CCUACGGGUGGCUGCAGUCGAGAAUAUUCCGCAAUGGACGAAAGUCUGACGGAGCGACGCCGCGUGCAGGAAGAAGCCCUUCGGGGUGUAAACUGCUUUUAUGUGGGAAGAAUUUGUGACGGUACCACAUGAAUAAGAGGUUGCUAACUCUGUGCCAGCAGCAGCGGUAAUACAGAGACCUCAAACGUUAUCCGGAUUCAUUGGGCGUAAAGCGUCCGCAGGUGGUGUGGGAAGUCGAUGGUCAAAUACUCGGGCUUAACCCGAGUACUGCUGUCGAAACUCCCACGCUCGAGGCUGGAAGAGGCAAGCGGAAUUCUCGGUGUAGUCGUAAUAAGCGCUGAUAUCGAGAAGAACACCAAAGGCAAAGGCAGCUUGCUAGAACAUGCCUGACACUCAUGGACGAAAGCGUGGGGAGCGAAUAGGAUUAGAUACCCGAGUAG
rnacentral:rRNA from 1 species